rnacentral:rRNA from 1 species
CCUACGGGUGGCUGCAGUGGGGAAUAUUGGACAAUAGGCGAAAGCCUGAUCCAGCCAUGCCGCGUGUGUGAAGAAGGCCUUCGGGUUGUAAAGCACUUUCAGUGGGGAAGAAAGCCUUGGGGCUAAUACCCUCGAGGAAGGACAUCACCCACAGAAGAAGCACCGGCUAACUCCGUGCCAGCAGCCGCGGUAAUACGGAGGGUGCGAGCGUUAAUCGGAAUUACUGGGCGUAAAGCGCGCGUAGGCGGUCUGAUAAGCCGGUUGUGAAAGCCCCGGGCUCAACCUGGGAACGGCAUCCGGAACUGUCAGGCUAGAGUGCAGGAGAGGAAGGUAGAAUUCCCGGUGUAGCGGUGAAAUGCGUAGAGAUCGGGAGGAAUACCAGUGGCGAAGGCGGCCUUCUGGACUGACACUGACGCUGAGGUGCGAAAGCGUGGGUAGCAAACAGGAUUAGAUACCCCAGUAGUC